GACGAACGCUGGCGGCGUGCUUAACACAUGCAAGUCGAACGGAAAGGCCUCUUCGGGGGUUCCCGAGUGGCGCACGGGUGGGUAACACGGGAGUAAGCUGCCCUAGACCGCGGGAUAACUGCAGGAAACAGGGGCUAAUACCGGGGAGGAAUCCUCGCUGCACGGAGGGGGUUGGUAAGCGUCGGCGGUCUUGGAUGGAGUGGCGGCUUAUCAGCUUGUUGGUGGGGUAGGGGCUUACCAAGUCCGUGAGGGGUAGCCGGCCUGAGAGGGCGACCGGUCACAUUGGGACUGAGGUACGGCCCAGACUCCUACGGGACGCAGCAGUGGGGAGUAUUGCACAAUGGCGGGAAGCCUGAUGCAGCAGCCCUGCGUGCGGAAUGCCGGCCUUCGGGUUGUAAACCUCUUUCAGCAGGAGCGUAGCUUGUGGGACCGGAACCAGCAAGAGAAGCACCGGCUAACUCCGG
rnacentral:rRNA from 1 species